GUGAGGAAUUUUCCGCAAUGGGCGAAAGCCUGACGGAGCAAUGCCGCGUGAAGGAUGAAGGCCUAUGGGUUGUAAACUUCUUUUCUCAGAAAAGAAUUAUGACGGUAUCUGAGGAAUAAGCAUCGGCUAACUCUGUGCCAGCAGCCGCGGUAAGACAGAGGAUGCAAGCGUUAUCCGGAAUGAUUGGGCGUAAAGCGUCUGUAGGUUGUUUAAAAAGUAUUCUGUCAAAGAUUAGGGCUUAACCCUAGAUAGGCAGAAUAAACUUUUAAGCUAGAGUUUGGUAGAGGCAGAGGGAAUUCCCGGUGGAGCGGUGAAAUGCGUAGAUAUCGGGAGGAACACCAAAGGCGAAGGCACUCUGCUGGGCCAAUACUAACACUGAGAGACAAAAGCGAGGGGAGCAAAUGGGAUUAGAAACCCGAGUAGUCC
rnacentral:rRNA from 1 species